UUAUGUCGAGGUUGGAUAUUAGUGAUCAGCAUCAAGUUCUUCCAUUCAACCCUAUUGAAGCUGGGGAGCAUUGUGAGGUAUAAUUUCUGAAUAUGAAACUUAUCCAGUCUACAUACACUUUGCAGUCUGCCAAACAGAUCCCCCUGGAACUUCUGGCUCUCCAGUGUCAUAGUUUUGCUUUCCAGUAUCUUCCUGACAACCCAAGAAGCUGAUUUUGGAAUGUUUAUUGUUGCAAUGUCACCCUGUUUGAUGUAGUAAGAGUGAACCCAUCUAACCCAAAGACAAUCUUUCUUCCUGGACAAGUCCCACAACAAUUUAGUAAUGGCUGCUUUGUU
rnacentral:lncRNA from 1 species